rnacentral:rRNA from 1 species
UACGUAGGGUGCAAGCGUUGUCCGGAAUUAUUGGGCGUAAAGAGCUCGUAGGUGGCCUGUCGCGUCGGCUGUGAAAACUCGGGGCUCAACUCCGAGCUUGCAGUCGAUACGGGCAGGCUAGAGUUCGGCAGGGGGAGACUGGAAUUCCUGGUGUAGCGGUGAAAUGCGCAGAUAUCAGGAGGAACACCGGUGGCGAAGGCGGGUCUCUGGGCCGAUACUGACGCUGAGGUGCGAAAGCGUGGGGAGCAAACAGG